rnacentral:rRNA from 1 species
GACGUAGGGCGCGAGCGUUGUCCGGAUUCAUUGGGCGUAAAGGGUGUGUAGGUGGCGCCGUUAGAUCCGGGGUGUGGAAAUUUCGGAGCUUAACUCCGAAACUGCAUUCGAUACUGCCGUGCUUGAGGACUGGAGAGGAGACUGGAAUUUACGGUGUAGCGGUGAAAUGCGUAGAUAUCGUAAGGAAGACCAGUGGCGAAGGCGGGUC